GACGAAGGGGGCUAGCGUUGUUCGGAAUUACUGGGCGUAAAGAGCGCGUAGGCGGCCAGAUAAGUCCGGUGUGAAAGUCACAGGCUCAACCUGUGAAUGCCGCUGGAAACUGUCUGGCUAGAGUCCGGGAGGGGCGAGUGGAAUUCCUGGUGUAGCGGUGAAAUGCGUAGAUAUCUGGAGGAACACCGGUGGCGAAGGCGGCAUCCUGGACUGGCAUUGACGCUGAGGCGCGAAAGCUAGGGGGAGCAAACGGG
rnacentral:rRNA from 1 species